rnacentral:rRNA from 1 species
UACGUAGGGGGCAAGCGUUGUCCGGAUUUAUUGGGCGUAAAGAGCGUGUAGGCGGCCAGAUAGGUCCGUUGUGAAAACUGGACGGCUUAACCUCCAGCGGGUCGAUGGAAACCAUUUGGCUAGAGUCCGGAAGAGGAGAGUGGAAUUCCUGGUGUAGCGGGUGAAAUGCGCAGAUAUCAGGAAGAACACCCGUGGCGAAGGCGGCUCUCUGGGACGGUACUGACGCUGAGACGCGAAAGCGUGGGGAGCAAACAGG